UGCAUGAAAUGAAAAUGAGGUUUGAACCGACUUGGCAAAGAACAUGGAAACAUUUAAGAAUGGAAUGGCCCCAAACAUCAUCAGGAGUGCAAAAGAAGGAAGUCAAAAAAAAACAAAAAAACUACGCCAAUCUCAUUGGACUAGCAGAGGAAACCACAGAAGGUCUCGUUAGGAAUGCUGCACUCAUUUUAUUGCCAGCACUAUUUAAAGAAAACGCCAGCUUCCUCUACUGUGUAGAUAGUGAACCCAAAGGUGCUACACCAACCAUAGUGUUUAACGGCUCCCCUGAUCCCCUCAAGGCUGAAAGUGUCAGCAUAAUAAUGGACAAUGUGAACAUCAUAAGAGAGGCAGACAUUGACAUGACACAGGCUGUGGAAUGCCUAUUUGCAGUCUAUUUUCUCUUCAAUGUGCAGUACCCGGUUGACAUUAAGCACACAAUGACUUUUAUUUAAAAAUAUAUGCUUAACCUUAGACAACAGCAC